rnacentral:sRNA from 2 species
UUGCAUUUGAAGCCCAUGAGGAUGAGAACCUCCGGGGGCGGGGAGGUUCGACUCGAGCGAAGCGAGAGAACGUUGCGCCAGCAACGGC